AAGUGGGUUGCCUCCUCAAUGACACAAAACGUGUCACACGGUGUAGGUGUACAACAAUCCACAGAUAAGAGCUUUUUCCUUUUCCUUUUAAUUUUGUUACUACUUUUAUAAUAAACUAAACAAUAUUAAACUAAGUCAAAUGUUUGAAUAAAAGGAGCCAUAGGUUGCGUAUAAACAGAAAGCAAGAACAGAGUACCCAACUCAAUAUACCAUGAGAGAGAAAGCAAGAUCAGAGUACCCGAAUUAAGGGAGCAGCUCACCGAAGAUAUAUGGCUCACCUUGAAAGUAACCUGAUUGACUUGAGAUUCAGCUGAUGGUGGCGAUCGGUGAGGCGGUGGAGGUAGGUCAGUGUUCACGGUGGAGGUAAGUUAAUUAUUAUAUUGAGUUUUUAUUCAUUCUUUAACAGAAAGGAUGGGCUAUAUUUUUGAGGGUUACGUUGAAGGAUAUGAUGGAAGGUGUGGUUAGUUUGUUUUGUGGGGGGUUGAACUGAAGUGAUGGGUACUUGAAGCGACGUCGGUUUUUGCAAGAUGAUAGCUUCAAUGGAGGGUGCCUGAAAGGUGCAAGGUGAGCUAAGUGGAGAAGAAAUAUAGCCAUUUAUCAAAUGAUAUGUAUAGUGACUCCAUGGCAGCAUUCCUUUAGCUUAUGUAUGCUAGCUUUGAUGGUUUCAACAAUGUUAAACUUUUUGGUUUGAGAAUAUUACGAACACUCGUAGAUUUAUGCACUAUUUUGUAUUAUAUACUACGGGAAACAAUAUUAUUGUAUUACUGAUUUUGUAUCAAUGAAAUUCUAUUUGCAGUUAUUAUAUGAUUCAUUUAAAUGUG